UCCACGCCGUAAACGAUGGUCACUCGUUCUUGGCAAUACAUCGUCAGGGACUGAGCGAAAGCAUUAAGUGACCCACCUGGGGAGUACGUUCGCAAGAAUGAAACUCAAAGGAAUUGACGGGGGCCCGCACAAGCGGAGGAACAUGUGGUUUAAUUCGAUGAUACGCGAAGAACCUUACCUAGCCUUGACAUAUAUUAGAACUCACCAGAGAUGGAGAGGUGCCUUCGGGAGCU
rnacentral:rRNA from 1 species